AGUGAACGCUGGCGGUAGGCCUAACACAUGCAAGUCGAACGGCAGCACAGUAAGAGCUUGCUCUUACGGGUGGCGAGUGGCGGACGGGUGAGGCAUACAUCGGAAUCUACUUUUUCGUGGGGGAUAACGUAGGGAAACUUACGCUAAUACAGCAUACUACCUACGGGUGAAAGCAGGGGAUCUUCGGACCUUUCGCGAUUGAAUGAGCCGAUGUCGGAUUAGCUAGUUGGCGGGGUAAAGGCCCACCAAGGCGACGAUCCGUAGCUGGUCUGAGAGGAUGAUCAGCCACACUGGAACUGAGACACGGUCCAGACUCCUACGGGAGGCAGCAGUGGGGAAUAUUGGACAAUGGGCGCAAGCCUGAUCCAGCCAUACCGCGUGGGUGAAGAAGGCCUUCGGGUUGUAAAGCCCUUUUGUUGGGAAAGAAAAGCAGCAGGUUAAUACCCCGCUGUUCUGACGGUACCCAAAGAAUAAGCACCGGCUAACUUCGUG
rnacentral:rRNA from 1 species